AGAGUUUGAUCAUGGCUCAGAUUGAACGCUGGCGGAAUGCUUUACACAUGCAAGUCGAACGGCAGCACGGGUGCUUGCACCUGGUGGCGAGUGGCGAACGGGUGAGUAAUGCGUCGGAACGUACCGAGUAAUGGGGGAUAACGCGGCGAAAGUCGCGCUAAUACCGCAUACGCCCUGAGGGGGAAAGUGGGGGAUCGCAAGACCUCACGUUAUUCGAGCGGCCGACGUCUGAUUAGCUAGUUGGUGGGGUAAAGGCCUACCAAGGCGACGAUCAGUAGCGGGUCUGAGAGGAUGAUCCGUCACACUGGGACUGAGACACGGCCCAGACUCCUACGGGAGGCAGCAGUGGGGAAUUUUGGACAAUGGGGGCAACCCUGAUCCAGCCAUUCCGCGUGAGUGAAGAAGGCCUUCGGGUUGUAAAGCUCUUUCAGCUGGAACGAAACGGUACGCUCUAACAUAGCGUGCUAAUGACGGUACCGGCAGAAGAAGCACCGGCUAACUACGUGCCAGCAGCCGCGGUAAUACGUAGGGUGCGAGCGUUAAUCGGAAUUACUGGGCGUAAAGCGUGCGCAGGCGGAUUGUUAAGCAGGACGUGAAAGCCCCGGGCUUAACCUGGGAAUGGCGUUUUGAACUG
rnacentral:rRNA from 1 species